rnacentral:lncRNA from 13 species
CCUAAACAGACAUGGAAAGAAGGACCGUCUAUGGAGCGGAAUCAGUCUUCAGACUCCAAACGACACGAGAGAGAGUGUGGAAUGGUAGGGAAAAGCUGGAUACACCGGUUGCAACCCUGCCUCUGUAUCUUACUUUCCAAGUGUCCUUGACCUUGAGAAUUGAGGACAAGGGCCUAUCCAAUAUUUGGCCUGAAGUAAAAGAAAAGAACAAUGUAUCUUGCUAAAAAUAGUAGUGACAAUGGUGGUCACCAACAAAGGACAACUUUGCCAAGCAGAACGAUAAACUAAUGAGCGUUACAAGCAGCAGAGGCCUGAGGGUCAUAUGAGAAAGACCGAACAGAGCAGAGAGGAUCUGAACCGAAGAACCAAUCUGCUAUGGUCUGGAUGUCUGUGUCCUCUGAAAAAUUCGUAUGUGGAAACCAAUGACCAAUGUGAUGGUAUGAAGAGUGAGGCCUCUGGGAAGUGGCUAGAUCCCUCAUGAAUGAGAUAUGAGCAUGUAGGAGUGAACAUGUACAGAAAAAGAAUCACUUACAGAAGAAUAAGUCAAAAUGUCACCCAUAUCACAAGGAAGUGGCCCUCUCUGAGCAGAGUCAGAAUAUGCCUCCAUCCCAUAUCGCAGCUGCUACUUGGUCAAUCAUCAAACCUGAAGGAAAGCCAGGGGAGGAAGUCUGCAAGGAAAGAAGGAUGAAAGAUUUGUCACAAGAAUCAUUUCUACUUCACAGAAAAAUCUUCAAGUGUGAGUGUGCUUGCAGAGGUUGUGAUGGUCGGAAGCCAGAGAGGAUGGAGAUGGAGAUGCAGAGGACACCCCAGAGACAGAAGAGCAGGAAGGCUCCAUCCUAUGCCCAGGAACAAUAAACUAUAAACUCGUGUCUCAUGGUCCACACUAAUUUUCUCUCUUUGUCUUGGCUACUCUCUCCUCAUUCCAGUCCGUCUGGGUGACAA